rnacentral:rRNA from 1 species
UACGUAGGGUCCGAGCGUUGUCCGGAAUUACUGGGCGUAAAGAGCUCGUAGGUGGUUUGUCGCGUUGUCCGUGAAAACUCACAGCUCAACUGUGGGCGUGCGGGCGAUACGGGCAGACUGGAGUACUGCAGGGGAGACUGGAAUUCCUGGUGUAGCGGUGAAAUGCGCAGAUAUCAGGAGGAACACCGGUGGCGAAGGCGGGUCUCUGGGCAACUACUGACGCUGAGGAGCGAAAGCGUGGGGAGCGAACAGG